rnacentral:rRNA from 1 species
GGACUACGGGGGUAUCUAAUCCAUUUUGCGCCCCUAGCCUUCAUCCUUUACUGUCAGAACUGUCCUCGUGGAAUGCCUUCGCUAUUGUGAGUCUGCUCAAGAUUAACACAUUUUACCGCUACUUUGAACAUACUUUCCACGUCUUCCAGUCUCUAGCUUAGCAGUAUUCCUUGCACGCCUCGCCCUUAAGAGACGAGAUUUCACAAGGAACUUAUUAAGCAAGCUACGGAUGUUUUAGACCCAAUAAUGAUGGCUGCGACUUGGACCGCUAGUAUUACCGCGGCGGCUGGCACUAGUCUUGCCCAGUCCUUAUUCGCCAAAAUUUUUAGAUUUGGCAAAAGCUUUUCAAUUGAAAAGCACUCUGGCUCGCUUUGUCACGCUUGCGCGCAUUGCAAAAGAUUCCUAACUGCUGCACCCCAUAGG